rnacentral:rRNA from 1 species
ACGCUGGCGGUAGGCUUAACACAUGCAAGUCGUGCGAGAAAGUAUCUUCGGAUAUGAGUAGAGCGGCGAACGGGUGAGUAACGCGUAGGAAUGUACCUAGUAGAAGGGGAUAGCCCGAGGAAACUCGGAUUAAUACCGUAUACCUCCUUCGGGAGAAAGAAGGCCUCUCUUUGAAGCUUUCGCUACUAGAUCAGCCUGCGUAAGAUUAGCUUGUUGGUAGGGUAAAAGCCUACCAAGGCGACGAUCUUUAGCUGGUCUGAGAGGAUGAUCAGCCACAUCGGGACUGAGACACGGCCCGAACUCCUACGGGAGGCAGCAGUGGGGAAUAUUGGACAAUGGGGGCAACCCUGAUCCAGCAAUACCGCGUGUGUGAAGAAGGCCUGAGGGUUGUAAAGCACUUUCAAUUGGAAGAAAAGUUAACGGUUAAUAACCGUUAGCCUUGACGUUAACUUUAGAAGAAGCACCGGC